AUGUCAAGUCAGCAUGGUCCUUACACAUCGGGCUACAAACGUGCUACAAUGGCGCUUACAGAAAGUCGCGACACCGCAAGGUGGAGCCAAUCUCCAAAAAGCGUCUCAGUUCGGAUUGUCCUCCGCAACUCGGGGGCAUGAAGUCGGAAUUACUAGUAAUCGUAUAUCAGCAUGAUACGGUGAAUGCGUUCUCGGGUCUU
rnacentral:rRNA from 1 species